AUCACAAAGCCUUACUGAGUUAAGGAGUCUGAUCUAUUUUGUUUUGUGCUCAUAACCCACUAAAGGGUCAAGAUCUACAGUUUGAAGAGUCCUGCAAUGUGGAAGGAAUGUUUUAGUAGGAGUGAGAAACCUGAGUUCUUUGCUAGCUCCACUUUUGAAUAGAAAACUUUGCUCUCACCAGCAAACCAAGGAUUCUGUGACAGGGCACGUGUCUCAGCGGACAACCAGAAAACCCAACACAGGACCAUUAUGCACCUACCUUCUCCACUAAGGAGAAAAAAAAGGAUUCCACACAGACAAUGAAUGCUAUAGAGGACCCUAACUGAGAACCUUAACUAAUCUCUUUCCUCAAAACAAGGUGGUGUAGGGGCCAAAGACUGGAUAAACUGAAGCAAGUCUAAGAAGAAACUGAAGGUCUCACAAAUCCACAGGCCACCCAGAUACCACAGGAGCUGAUUAAGUCCUGACUGUCCUGUCGCUGUGUCCCAGAGGUGUUCUUGCCUUAAGACAGACUCCAAAUUGCUUUACUUACAAAGUGCUUUCCAACAAGUUAUUCCACCACCAGUUGCAAACUCUAAUGCUGGCUUUUUUGAGGCCAGUUUUGACAAAAAUUCCUUUGAUACUGUAUUUUAAAGUUAAAAAUCGUGUUACCUUAUUAUUCUACAUCCUUAGCAUUUGACCAUUUCAAUGGCUAGAAAUGCAAUAGUCAAUAUUAUUCAUUGAAAUUCAAUAUUCAUUUAAAACUCUUAUUAAAGUUACUGAAAUAUUU